UAACCAGUGAUGGGGAGCCGGAGCGAAAGCGAGUCUGAAUAGGGCGUUCAGUUCGUCGCAUUAGACCCGAAACCGAGUGAUCUAGCCAUGAGCAGGUUGAAGGUAAGGUAACACUUACUGGAGGACCGAACCGGUGCCUGUUGAAAAAGUCUCGGAUGACUUGUGGCUAGGGGUGAAAGGCCAAUCAAACUCGGAAAUAGCUG
rnacentral:rRNA from 1 species